rnacentral:misc_RNA from 1 species
ACAUGGAGCCAAUCUUGAUGUUGACUCCAGUAACUUGGAUGGGCUCUCGCCACAAGUUGCCUCUUCUUAUCAAAAGGCCCUUGACAUGAUGAAUGCGAGGACUCAUCUCGAGAAUCAAAUAUCUCAUAAAGUUGCACCUGAAUCAGAAAGGCUUCAACACUUUAGGGACUACUUAAAAUUUGAGCAAUCAUUGGGGGAUCCAGCGAGGAUACAGAUCUUAUAUGAGCGUGCCAUAACUGAAUUUCCUAUAUCUAGUGAACUCUGGCUUGAUUAUACUCACUACAUGGAUAAAACGUUGAAGACCUCCAGUCUUGUUCGAGACACUUACAAAAGAGCAUCAAGGAACUGUCCCUGGGUUGGAGAACUGUGGGUGCGAUACUUGUUGUCUCUUGAACGCAGUCGUGCUUCUGAGGAUGAGAUAUCUGCUGUUUUCGAGAAGUCUCUACAGUGCACUUUUUCAAGCUUUGAAGAGUAUCUUGAUAUAUUUCUCACAAGAGUUGAUGGCUUAAGGCGGAGGUUGUCUUUAUUGACAUCUGGAGCGGAAAGCAGCAACUUAGAUUAUAUAAUUAUACGGGAAACUUUUCAGCGUGCAUCAGACUAUUUGUCUCCACACCUGAAGAACACAGAAAGUUUAUUGCGGAUGUACAGAUAUUGGGCCCGCUUAGAAUCAACUCUGGGGAAAGAUCUAGUUGCAGCCCGUGGUGUAUGGGAGCGCCUGCUUAAAAUCAGUGGAUCUGUGCUAGAGGUGUGGCAAGGGUACAUAGCUAUGGAAAGUGAGAUGGGUAAUAUUAAUGAAGCUAGAUCUCUCUUUAAGAGAUGCUACAGUAAACGGUUUCCCGGGACUGGCUCAGAGGACA